ACAAUGAAUGUCAUGCACCUGAAUCAUCCCCAAACCAUCCCCCUCCUCCCUGGUCCGUGGAAAAAUUGUCUUCCUUGUAACUUAUCCCUGGUGCCCAAAACGUGGGGGAUCACAGCUCUAGAGCAUCUUUUGCCCCUUGGUAUUUUAAGCUUCUUUCAACAAAAUAAUCUGAUACAAGUUUACCAAAAGGUGAACAGGUAGCAUUCCUAGAAGGUAGAGUGCUACAAAAACUGCUCUGCUAAGUAUAAAAUGAAGACAAGACUUUAUUAACACUCCAGUGAUGAAUCACUUGUCUCUAAAUGUGUUUUCAUGUAACCAUCAGUGCAAAGAUCCUCAAAUAAGCUGAGAGUUAUUGAAGGUGGCUUUACUGGAACCCUUAACCAUGCACAUGGUUCAGUUAAAAGUGCAUUGUGUACUAGUGAGCCCAAGAGACUACCUUUCUACUGCACAAUGAUGAAGGCACAAGUCAAGCAAGCUAAUUUGAAAACUACUUCAACUGGUUUCUCAGGAAGGCUUUCCAAACCACUCUUAGUUUGCAUUAAGGAUUCUGAUAUUUUACAGCUGUAGGUGUAUCCCUAUGACAAAAGUACUUCACGAGAACCAAACUAUGGAUGUUCAAGGAUGCAGUAAAUUAUGUAUCUGGCAGAAAAGUGGAGACCAUUAAAAUUCUAAGAAGAAAGCACUGGUUUUAAAACCUUUUAAAAGCUGCUUAUUAGCUACCUAGAAACAUGUUUUUUAAAAACGCAGGUAUAAGCAGUGCAGCGUAUGUUUAAGCUAUUCUCUAAUGAUAUUUAAUGCCCUUGGCUCACUGCAGCUUGCAUUCAACAAAGUCGUGUUUAUUUUAGGGUUCUUCUUCCACUUCUGGUUAAUCAUUUUCUUCCUCUUGCUUUGCUUCUUCUCUCUUGAUUCUUCGCCUGUGUCAUCGUCAUCAUUCUGUGCAUCUUGUCCUGUUGAGUAAAAUACUGAUCUUGUACACUCGUGAAAGAGAACUGCAAUUGAUCUCCACGACUUUUACCUGGACCAACCCCACUUAGUAUUCUAAAUUUAGGAAUUUCCAGAGUACAAAAGUAGCUGAAGUAUGAGUCCUUGAAAGUUGUUUUGUACCCUAUUCUAGAAGUUCCAUUUCCUUUGCUAUCCUGAUCCUUAAUGCAUUCUGAGUGACAUUCUUCUUCCAAUGUAUUUAGCACCCAAUGCAGCCUAUAACUUGUGGUCCGUGAGAACAGAAGGAUCAAAAUCAUCCAGGUAUGACUUUAUUAGAUAUGUUUCAGUCAACACCUCAUUUGAGAAAUAGUCACUGGAUUCAGAGAAGUUCAACUGUGAAAUUCGUAGGCUCUCCAGCAUCUGAGAAGUUGCGGACAAGUAUUUCAGGUGCUCUAAAAUAGGCUCAUGGGCUUUCUGAAUCAUAUUUCUGAGCAAUUCUGCAUUCUUCAAAACUUUCAUGCCAAGAUAAAGAAUUCUUUCAGGGUGGCUUUUACCUUCAGAAUUUUCCUCAAGCUUUCUUUUUGAUUUCCUCAACAACUGCCUCUGCAAUAGGUUGAUAGAGGCAUACUUUCUCUCAGUAUCAUGAGUUACUUUAUGAUGUUUAGAUUUUGUUUUUGCCUGUUCUAACUGGAAUUUUCUUUAGGCAUUAAGUUGCUUAACGAUAUUUAUCAAGUCCUGAAAACAGCUUACACAUGCUACAAGUGAAGCAGCACAUCUUUCUUGGGAAGCCUGAGGAAUUUGCCUCCCCUCAACAGUUUUUUCUUCCUUCCUGUUCUCAACAGCAUGGUGCCCCUCAAUCGUGGCUCAUUGUAGUCUCCAUGCCACAGGCUCUGUGACAGAAAACAGAGUCUCCUGUGCACAGCUUGAGGGUCCUUUGCUUUCCCACCUCAGGGCCUUUAUGUUUCUCCGGUGAACGACGAAGCCAAGUGGCUCAAGUGUCCUCCAUCAUCUCAUUAAGACAGGCAGGCCAGGAGGGUGUGGGUGGGGAAAGAUGGUGGGCAGCCCAAGGCACUGUAGUCUGUCUUUCUGGCCCCUUGAGGUGGGAUCCCUCCUCUGACUUUCAAGAGCUUCCUCCCCCAAAUCAAAGUAAAUGUUUAAAGUCUUCAACCCUCCCUUGGACACGACUGCCAUCUUCCCUUCCUCCUCUUCCAUCCUUCACAGCACAGGCUCUGGUUGGGCCAGUAGAGCUGGUUUUAUGUCACUUUCGUCCAACAUAAAACCUCAAUAGCUCUGGCUAGGAAGUGGGGGCAGAGAUGGAUCAGCUGAGGCAGAGCCCCAGCUGGGUUCCAGGAUUGGCGCUAUUGCUAACCAGGUGUUAUGACUUUGCAAUCUGAUUUAGCUGUUCUGGGCCUGCGUUUUCUCAUCUACAAAAUUAGUAAAUCUGUCACCCUGUGCUACUGAUGACUUGUGCUCAAGGAUCAGAAUUCUCUGGGUCUGAUGCAUUCUGGAUGUUUUGGCCAGAACUUUUUCGCCAAAAUAUGCUUCACCUCAAUAACAAAUUCUAUGGGGAAGCUCCUGAGUUCCUCAAUCACCUAAACAUUUCCUUUUGACCAUGUGGUCCUGUAUGAGUUCAUAAUGUUUUGGGAUCAACUCUCCAAGAAUCUUGACAUUUUUAAAAGCUAUGAACCAAAUAUGAGGUCUGCCAUUUGCCUGUUCUCUUCCAUGUCCUCUCAAGCUCCCUCUUGAACACCUGCCUCCA